rnacentral:ribozyme from 1 species
GCUACUCGAAACUUUGCACACAUCUUCGUGGUGAGUAGCAGGUAACGAUUUUGUGAUCGGCUGAGAUGUGAAG